rnacentral:rRNA from 1 species
AGUGAACGCUGGCGGUAGGCCUAACACAUGCAAGUCGAACGGCAGCACAGUAAGAGCUUGCUCUUACGGGUGGCGAGUGGCGGACGGGUGAGGAAUACAUCGGAAUCUACUUUUUCGUGGGGGAUAACGUAGGGGAACUUACGCUAAUACCGCAUACGACCUACGGUUGAAAGCAGGGGAUCUUCGGACCUUGCGCGAAUGGAUGAGCCGAUGUCGGAUUAGCUAGUUGGCGGGGUAAAGGCCCACCAAGGCGACGAUCCGUAGCUGGUCUGAGAGGAUGGUCAGCCACACUGGAACUGAGACACGGUCCAGACUCCUACGGGAGGCAGCAGUGGGGAAUAUUGGACAAUGGGCGCAAGCCUGAUCCAGCCAUACCGCGUGGGUGAAGAAGGCCUUCGGGUUGUAAAGCCCUUUUGUUGGGAAAGAAAAGCAGCAGGUUAAUACCCCGCUGUUCUGACGGUACCCAAAGAAUAAGCACCGGCUAACUUCGUG